AAAAGAGCCGUUCAAAGAGAGUCGUUCGUUCGCGAAUGACCUACCACUACAACAAAGCAAGAUGUCUGAAGUUGUGGAGCUCCAGAAACUAAAGCUUGCUGAACUGAAGCAUGAGUGUGAAACCAGGGGUCUAGAUGUGAAGGGCAACAAAGUGGAACUGAUCACACGACUACAGGCUUAUCUGGAGGAACAUGGUUCUUCAAUGAAACUUGGAGCGAGGUGAAUGCUGACCGACUGCCACUGGACGUCCUCAGUGAAGUGGCGAACACCUACCACGCAUUUUACGACACCAUCAACCACAUUGGGAACACGGAUUGGGUAAAUGGCGAAUCAUCCUAUGAAGCAAACAAUCUUGUUUCGAAACUUGAUGUUUUCUAGUUUGUGUUCCAGCUCUUCACCUAUCGCAGGUUUUCUCCAACAUUGAUGUUGCAUUUGACACUGAAGCACAAAGCAAUGGAUGUGUUAGCCUGCAAAGCAUUGAGGAGCUGGUUCAACACAUCCAGAGCAAGAAGUCUGACUCUGCCUUCGACAGCGUCUACCAGAAGGCUGAGAGAUUGGCUCAACACCCAUGCGAGAGUCUCAAGUGGACAGAUGACUUAGACCCACUGACACACUUCAAGGCUGUGUACUACGAAGCUCUGGAAACCCUCAUCUCUCAGAUCCAGGUUUGUUACGCACAUCUGGAUGACCUACGCUUCCUCGAGCUGCUGGAUCCAGUGAAGUUCACUGACAUUAACAUCCAUUUCGCAACAGAUGUGGUGGAUAGCCUGGUGAAGCUCUACGGGGGCUUCUUCAACAUGGACAGGCUCAGAGUGGACCUGAAGGCGUUCUACAUAGGCCAAGGACAGCAGCAGGACAGCCACAAGCUCUGUGAAUGGAUCAUUUUCAUCCGGUCCCAGAAGAACCCACUACCAGAGCUUUACAAGCUGAUGUGCCUUGUGGCGACCAUUGGAGUGACCUCAGCCGACGUGAAGGAAAGCUUCCCCUAGCUGAAGCGCAUUCAGGACUUCGUGAAAGGGGAAAAGCUGAACGAUCAGCUCCACCAGAACAUGGCCAUGAUGUGCAUAGAGAAUGAACAGUUGAGGGUUUGUCAGGAACUCCGGGAGCAGGACUGGUAUGACAAAGUCACGAACCUCUGGUCCAGAAAGACCAAGAGAGAAGAUGAAUUCAUCACCAAGAUGGCUGCAGAAUGGUUGAAAGGACAGGCAGCAAAGAGGACCUCCACAGCAACAGAGGAAUCUCAGGAGCCACCAGUCAGGAAGCAUGAUGACGAGUUUUUUCUCGCCUGAAUGAUCUGAAUCUAGAUUACAACACAAGUCUUUCCAUCAUUGUAUGAUUUUUUUGUGUGUAAAUGAACUCAAGCUUACGGACAA